UCGGGGUUAGUUUAAAGUUCAAAACAAGACUUUUUCGUGGUCGAAAUGGAUGCUUGUCCGCCUCGAU
rnacentral:tRNA from 1 species